rnacentral:hammerhead_ribozyme from 1 species
AUCCGGCUGACAAGUCUCAAAUAGGACGAUACGCACGUCCAGGAU